UUUAAAAAGUUAUUCAAGAGUGGACAGAAAUAUUUCAGGAACACAUCCCUCCAUAAUACAUGUAAAGAUUGUGUUGCUUAACUUCAUACUAAAUGUACA